rnacentral:rRNA from 1 species
CGGCGAGUGAAGCGGCAACAGCUCAAAUUUGAAAUCUGGCUUCGGCCCGAGUUGUAAUUUGCAGAGGAAGCUUUAGGCGCGGCACCUUCUGAGUCCCCUGGAACGGGGCGCCAUAGAGGGUGAGAGCCCCGUAUAGUUGGAUGCCUAGCCUGUGUAAAGCUCCUUCGACGAGUCGAGUAGUUUGGGAAUGCUGCUCAAAAUGGGAGGUAAAUUUCUUCUAAAGCUAAAUACCGGCCAGAGACCGAUAGCGCACAAGUAGAGUGAUCGAAAGAUGAAAAGCACUUUGAAAAGAGGGUUAAAUAGCACGUGAAAUUGUUGAAAGGGAAGCGCUUGUGACCAGACUUGCGCCGGGCGGAUCAUCCGGUGUUCUCACCGGUGCACUCCGCCCGGCUCAGGCCAGCAUCGGUUCUCGCGGGGGGAUAAAGGUCCUGGGAACGUAGCUCCUCCGGGAGUGUUAUAGCCCGGGGCGUAAUGCCCUCGCGGGGACCGAGGUUCGCGCAUCUGCAAGGAUGCUGGCGUAAUGGUCAUCAGCGACCCGUCUUGAAACACGGACCAAGGAGUCAAGGUUUUGCGCGAGUGUUUGGGUGUAAAACCCGCACGCGUAAUGAAAGUGAACGUAGGUGAGAGCUUCGGCGCAUCAUCGACCGAUCCUGAUGUUUUCGGAUGGAUUUGAGUAGGAGCGUUAAGCCUUGGACCCGAAAGAUGGUGAACUAUGCUUGGAUAGGGUGAAGCCAGAGGAAACUCUGGUGGAGGCUCGCAGCGGUUCUGACGUGCAAAUCGAUCGUCAAAUCUGAGCAUGGGGGCGAAAG